rnacentral:lncRNA from 1 species
CCGCAAAGCACGGUAUUUUUGUUUUUGAGAUGAUUCUCAACAUAGCCCUGGAUGUUGUGAAGCUCACUUCGUAGACCAGGCUGGCCUGGAACUCAGAGUCCCCUGCCCCUCGGCUGCUAGGACUAAGGCAUGCGCCACCACGCCUGCCUAAGGGCAGGGUUGUUAAUGGACUCCCGUGACCAGCCUGGCUAAGGAUGAGUCCCUGCCGCGUUCCCUGACGCCUGGGGCGGGGGCUUGCUGCCGUGCUCCGCACCGCGGUGGGGUGCACCAACGACCAUGCGCUCAGGAGGAGGCGUCGGCUCGCUCCGUUCCUGUCUGUGCACCCCACCCCUGGACAGCGGCAAAACCCAGGCCAGCCUCCUCGUGGUUCCGGCUCGCUCAGUCUGAUGCUGGUAGCGGCUCAAAGACUUGAAUCGAUGAAUAAAUGAAGUGGUUAAAGGACGGAACUGUCAUCCCAGGGGAUCCCUAACCAAGCUGACUAGGGAGACUGGCACCAUCGGCAAGCUCCGGGUUUGAUUGAGAUGCCCUACUACAAUCAAUAAGAUGGGAGAGGAAUUGAGAAUAAUUCCUGACAUCAACCUUGGACCUCCACAUGUGUAGUGAGAGAUUCACCCUGCCUCACCUGUGGUGCUGACCACACCUGUUUGGGCAUGAUCACAGGUGAGCAAGUGGUAUUUGGUCUGGGAUCCUGGACAGGUUUGCUCUCUCUUGGUUCCGGUCAGGUCAUAGUGAGCAGCCUGGGUGUGGCUCCUCGGAGCAGGAACUUGCGGAUCAUCAGUUUCUUAUGUAACUGACUUCUCCCCAAAUAAAUUUAACCUAUAUUUAGCCAAGUCCUGUGUAUCUUAAUCUGUGCAUCCACACACAUGCACUUGUACACAGGUGCACACACAUCCAUUCAUGUGUGCUCAAACACAUGUAAACAUGCACACCACAUACACAUGAAAACGGGGAAAAUACAAUGGGAAAACAGAAAUGCCAGUUAUCCUAGAAAGUGUGCCAGGCUGUCACACGUGACUUUCACUUCCAUUUUCCCCAUAUGCUACUGAACAUAUUUUCAUAUGUUUUUAUCCAUUUGAAAAGCAGUGGAG